CCUACGGGAGGCAGCAGUGAGGAAUAUUGGUCAAUGGACGAGAGUCUGAACCAGCCAAGUAGCGUGAAGGAUGACUGCCCUAUGGGUUGUAAACUUCUUUUAUAAAGGAAUAAAACGAGGCACGUGUGCCUUUUUGCAUGUACUUUAUGAAUAAGGAUCGGCUAACUCCGUGCCAGCAGCCGCGGUAAUACGGAGGAUCCGAGCGGUAUCCGGAUUUAGUGGGUUUAAAGGGAGCGUAGAUGGGUUGUUAAGUCAGUUGUGAAAGUUUGCGGCUCAACCGUAAAAUUGCAAUUGUUACUGGCAGUCUUGAGUACAGGUGAGGUAGGCGGAAUUCGUGGUGUAGCGGUGAAAUGCUUAGAUAUCACGAAGAACCCCGAUUGCGAAGGCAGCUUACUAAACUGUGACUGACAUUGAUGCUCGAAAGUGUGGGUAUCAAACAGGAUUAGAUACCCUGGUAGUC
rnacentral:rRNA from 1 species